ACUAGGCGCGCUGCUCUGGUAGCACCAGGUGUGUACCCGGCCCGGCGAGGAGAGACCCUUCCGUCCGAGGGCCUACACUUUCCCCUCUCCCACUCUCGGACCUCGGGAGGUGCUUCUGCCAAGUCCUGAGGCGGGGAUUUUGGCGCUCCUGCUGUUGUUAAGUUACCGUAGGGUCUCUUGGCGCGGAGGGAACACGCGCUGCGUUGCCUAGGUGUCUCAUUGGACUUGGAGAAGAACACCUGAGGCACCUCUACGAGCCAGAGAGGUGACGGCGCUGGAGCCAGUGAGGCUGCUGUCCCUGCCCAAUGGGAGCGAGGAGUCCCCACCCCUGGCUGCUUUCAGCUGUUGC
rnacentral:lncRNA from 1 species